rnacentral:misc_RNA from 1 species
UUAAAAAAAAAAAAAAAAGAAAAUCUGAGGCUUGUUAUAUUGUAUGUUCCCUAAAAGUUAUAAUUAAGCAUAUUCUCCGCACUUGCAACUUAAGAAGCAAAUACUGGGUGCCAAAAUUACUGCCUGAAAAGAAAAGGUAACUAAAUGUGACAGAAAAAACCGCUGAAAACUAGACUCAUCUGUAGAAUGUGAGCAGUAACCAACCCAUAAAAUUUGAGCUCCCACGGGUGUGAGAAGGGUGAUAUGAAAAUUUCAAAUUAAGGCCAUAGCACAUUUAGAUAAUGCAGUACUUCUUAAUAAGGGCAUGCUGAAUGAAAAAGUGAUUCAAUCUCAUUUAGCUAAAUAGACAAAAACAAGCAAAACAGAAUAAUUCGAGAUGAAUCACAAUCCCACAGAUUGGUUGGAAAGAGUAAUACAAGGAUUCCACUCAUUUUGGGGUUUGGCACAAGCUUGACAGAUGUAGGAUUUUAUGCUCCUUACCAGUUGUUGAAGAAUGAAACCAAACCAGUUAUCUCUGAAAACUAUCAAUCAAUAAAGACAAAAAAUGCAUAGGCUCUCCUGCCAUUUUCCUUCUGUUAUGGAUAUUCAUUAACAUUAACAUAUAUAAAACACAAUUAAAUGGAUUAAAUUGUCAGAUCAAGUAAAAAGACUUGAAUAGUUGUAACCAAUCUAAAAGACAAUUACCAAUUGAAAUUUAAACAAAAUCAGAUGGCCAAGUUUUUCAGGUAAGGUGAAUGCUCUUGGAUGUUAUAACAUAUUCAAAAGAUAAGUUAGUUGCUUGUGCUGUAAACAGCACAUAACCAAGGCACUAUCUACCAUGACACUUUGACGUCACAGCUGAAAUUAUGAGAAAAUGGGCUCAUUCAAGCAGCCUUGGACUAUGAAAAGAUGUUUGAAAUAACAGGAUCCAACAUAUAUACUGAAAUAAUAAAUAAAUAAUUGCUUAAGCAAAGCAAGCAUACCGACAAAUUAUGCACCACCACAUU